AUUGAACGCUGGCGGCAGGCCUAACACAUGCAAGUCGAGCGGCAGCGGGAAAGUAGCUUGCUACUUUUGCCGGCGAGCGGCGGACGGGUGAGUAAUGCCUGGGAAAUUGCCCAGUCGAGGGGGAUAACAGUUGGAAACGACUGCUAAUUCCGCAUACGCCCUACGGGGGAAAGCAGGGGACCUUCGGGCCUUGCGCGAUUGGAUAUGCCCAGGUGGGAUUAGCUAGUUGGUGAGGUAAUGGCUCACCAAGGCGACGAUCCCUAGCUGGUCUGAGAGGAUGAUCAGCCACACUGGAACUGAGACACGGUCCAGACUCCUACGGGAGGCAGCAGUGGGGAAUAUUGCACAAUGGGGGAAACCCUGAUGCAGCCAUGCCGCGUGUGUGAAGAAGGCCUUCGGGUUGUAAAGUACUUUCAGCGGGGAGGAAGGCGGUGAGGUUAAUAACCUCGCCGAUUGACGUUACCCGCAGAAGAAGCACCGGCUAACUCCGUGCCAGCCGCCGCCGUAA
rnacentral:rRNA from 1 species